AUGGUGAAAAUGCCUUCAACGCGCCUGAAGCGCCAAAUAGGAAUGUGCUGGCGCGAACCCUACAUGGGCCGAAGCACGACCGGCGGUGCCUGGGUGGCCCGACCGGCCCAACUCUCAGGAUUAUCUCUCUCAAGGUCGCCUUACGCGUCUCCCCCAAUCCCCAGACUCAAUCGAAGCCAAGGAACCAAAACCAGUGGCUCCGCUCGUCGCCUUCGCCCUGCGCCGCCGCAGUCCAGCAACCCCCCACCCCAUAUGCCCCCGCCAUGGCAGCCCUCAACUUACGCCGCCGGCACGAUAGUGGCAGCACCCCCUUGCCGCUCCUCCUCACCGGCCGGAUUUCACGCAUCCCCUGAUUCCGAUCCCCUUUCUUUCCUUUCAGAUGAAGAGAAGACCAUUGGAGAUACUUCCACAGCUGCCCCUCCUAUCUCUCUCGAUGAUGAAUUUCCCAAGGCCACCUCCAUGGGACCUUAUGCAAGUGCAGGCUGGUCGGACCUCCCCAUAGAUCUCCUCAUCCGGAUACUGCAUCUCCUUGAGCUCCCCGAGGCCCUAGCCUUCCAUGCUGUCUGUCCAUCAUGGCGUUCUGCAUCUGUGGCCGCAGGCGGUGCCCCACCUCGGCGCACGCCGUGGCUUGUUUCCUUGGCAGAGGAGCCUCCUCUCGCAGGGGAUCAACAGCGCCGUGUGCGGCGUAGGUUAUGUGAUCCUGCUGCUACUUCUGAGCUCCGCAACCUCCUGGAUGCUGAGAGAACUUUUCAGGUCAGCUUUCCCAGGGGCCAAGCUGUGGCCUGCUGCGGUGCCUCCCAUGGCUGGUUAAUCAUGGCAAACGAGCUCUCGGAUCUUGUCCUAUAUGACCCCUUCACCGCGGCAUUGAUCCCGCUCCCACCAAUCACUGGUUUUGCGUCGUGCAUACAGGGUGUCUAUGGAGACGAAGGGAAGAUCGUGGGCUAUCGUUACGGGUGUUACAUGAUAGAACGUGUUCAUGAUGUGCAGUCUCUCGGUGGGUAUUUCUAUGACAAGGUUGUGUUGUCCGGUCCUCCGUCCACUUGUCGCACUGUUGCUCUGGUCAUCCACCUGGACGGCAAGCGGCUCUCUUUCGCGAGAAUAGGAGAUACCUAUUGGCAACAAGUUUCGGUGAUCCGAAGAAACGGAGAUAGUUUUGCAGACUGUAUCUACCACCGCGGUAGGUUCUAUGCGGUGACAAUGGAAGGGAUAUUGAAGUCAUGGGACUUUAGUGGAUCAGACAAACCGAGGAAGAAAACGGUCAUUGCCGAGGAUGACAAUGACAUGUUCGACGACCCAGUUAUCACUAGGUACUUGCUUUCGACUCCUUGGGGUAAUCUCCUGCAGGUGCGUGUCUUUCUUGACACACACCAGGGAAACAAUGUCAGGAUUGAAAUAGACAGGUUGGACCUCAAGAGUCAGACAAGGGUAGCACUGAGCUCAGGGAAGGCUCUGCGGGGACAUGCGGCCUUCGUCGGACAGAAUAGCCCAGGCAUUUUAUCCACUAAAGAAUUCCCCAAACUAAGACCGGAUUGUAUCUAUUUCACAACUCCCCGCCUCAGAGAGCGCCAUGCUUUUGAGCAUCGCCAUAACCAAUGGAGCGGCGUGAAGGUCUAUGACCUGAAAAGACAGACACUUGAAGAUGCUUUCCCAUCUGGUGGAGGUCUUUACGGAACCAUCUGUCCAUUGGAAGUCUGGUUCACACCAAGUCUGAUCUGA
rnacentral:rRNA from 1 species